rnacentral:rRNA from 1 species
UACAGAGACUGCAAGCGUUAUUCGGAUUCACUGGGCGUAAAGGUGCGCAGGCUGUCGGGUGUGUCAGAUGUGAAAUCCCGAGGCUCAACCUCGGAACUGCGUCUGAAACUACUCGACUAGAGUACUGGAGAGGGUAACGGAAUUCACGGUGUAGCAGUGAAAUGCGUAGAUAUCGUGAGGAACACCAGAGGCGAAGGCGGUUACCUGGACAGUUACUGACGCUCAGGCACGAAAGCAUGGGGAGCAAAAGGG